CAUCAAAGUGUUCGUGAAGCUAGGCUUUGAACCGAGGUAUGUCUCAUUUCAGAAUACCCUAUACUGCCUUAAUCACUAUGUUUACAGAGAUGUAUGGGUCUACUGUAUGAACAUAACCUUGUUCACUGAUGUCAAAGUCAAAUGAUAUGCUAUUGUGACUUAAUAAUAUAAAAUAUACUUUCAUCAUCAUAUAGUAAAUCAAUAUUCCUUGACAGUUUAAUACAGUUUCUUCCCCCAAAUAUAAGGUAAAUGCCACAGCAGAGAACCUGAAUAUAAAACAACUCUAUAGCCCCUCUGAAAGAUAAAUUGGCUUUUAUUAAGGAGAUUCAUUCUAACAAUUGGACGAGCUCUCCAGGAGUCUUUCCUUGAAUUGCACACCUGACGAGAGAUAGCAGAAUUGAAAUGGGCUUUUAAGGUAUCCCAGCCUGGUUACUUACUAGUUGCAUAACCUUGGGCAAGACCCUUUGGGGUUCAUCAGAACAUGGAUUAUAACACUCCCCAUACUGGGAGUGCUAUGAAAGGAUACCGUAAAUAGGAGGUACAUAAAUGCUAUUUUUGCCUAGGAUUGUCAGGUAAAAAACAGGAUGCCCAGUUAAAUUUCAGACAGUUAACAAAUGAUGUUUUUAUAUUUUAAUUUUAUUUGAUAUCGGACACAUAUUAUACUAAAGAAUUAUGUAUUGUUUAUGUGAAAUUUAAAUUUGAACUAGCAUCCCGUAUUUUUACUGCUAAAUAUGACAACCCUACUGGCAAGCCCAGCUCCAUUCCCCCCAACCCCCACCCCUAAGAGGAGAAACUAGGGCAAAGGGCGGGCUCAGGAGAGAACCAGGGGAGAGGGAAGAAAAGGAAGGGCUUGAGUGUGGGAGGACUCCCUCUCAGGGGUGGGACCGAAACCCGAAUCCCCUGACAAGGAGAUUCUACCGAACCUCUCAGGAGGUUCUCUGUUGUCGCUGGAGCGGGCCAAACAUCCUACGCCCCCAUCCGCUGGGAAGGAGCAACCGCCCCUCCACCCACCGUUGCCUCGGCAGCAGCAGCAGCAGCAGCAGCACCGGGCUCCGGACACCGGUUCCUCUCAGACGCCGCCAGCAGCACCGAUACCACAGAGGCCGCCGCCAUGUCCCAGGAGCCUGGACGCAUGUGGAUGUGUGGCUGCGUCUCAAAUGUCACCCAAAUCGUCCCUCCAGGCGGUAUGGAAGUCUCUUGUCCUCCUCUGGCCACCGUCCAGUCCGAACCAAGGAACAGGCCAAUCCGAGCGAGGCAUUCGGGAGAGGGCGUCACCACUGAAGCCAAUCAACGAACUCCCAGGGCUGCAGUGGCGGCGACGGGCUGAUUGGGCUGUGCCCAGUGGGAGUGGUCCCUGCUUCCUCCACCUCCUGGGUUCGGGUCCAAGCGGGGUGGGGGGCUGCUGUCCUCAGGCCCCUUAGAUUGCCUGGAUGUCUGUUGCAUGUUUCUUCCUGUGGUCCGUGGGGUUCUUUUCCUCUCGUGGGCUCCAGAGCGAUGAGCCCUUCAUGACCUUUAAUUUUUAGAGUUUUCUGAGGGGGGGAGAAGAGAGGGUAGCUGUCCUAAUACACAAAAAGGUGUGGGGGAAGAAGAACACAAAGUUUUGUUUUCAAAAAUGUGAAAAACAUGUAUUUUAAAAAAUCCUCCUCUUAAUUGUCUCAAAGUUGAAAUUACACGAUUUUAAGAUAGACUUAAUUUUCUUCUGUAAUGCUUUUUAAAUUGAGAUCUAGUUGGCAUACAGCAUUGUGUUGAUUUGAUACCUUUACAAACACACACAUGUACACUGCUAAGAUCUUUAGCCCAUUUUAAAAAUUAGGUUAUUCUUACUAUUGAGUUUUAAGAGUUCUUCGUGUAUUUUAGAUAACAGUCCUUUUUUUUUUUGACAGAUAUGUCUUUCAUAAAUAUUUUCUAUCAGCUUCUUCUCUAAUUCUCUUAAUGGUAUCUUUCACACAGCAGAAAAUCUUACUUUUAACGAAGUCUAUCUUAUGAAUUCUUUCUUUCAUGAAUUGUGCCUUUGGUGUUGUACCUAGAAAGUCCUCACCAAACCCUAGGUCAUCUAGCUUAUCUUAUUUUAUAGGAAUAUUAUAGUUUUGUAUUUUACAUUAGGUCAGUGAUCCAUUUUGAGUUAAUUUUUAUGAAGGGUGCUAUGCACACACACGUAUAUAUUUACAAGUAGAUGUAUAGGUGCUCCAGCACUGUUAAAAAGACUGUCUUUGCUAUAUUGUGUUCCUUUUGCUCCUUUGUCAAAGAUCAAGUGACUGUAUCUAUGUUGAUGUAUUUAUGGGCUGUCUAUUCUUUUCAGUUGAUCUGUUUAUCUGUUCAGUGGCCAAUACCACACUAAUGUUGAUUGCUGUAGGUUUACAGCAAGUCUUAAUGUUGGGUAGUGUCAGUCUGCCAACUUUGUUCUUCUCCUUCAGUUUUGUGUGUGUUGGCUACUUUAAGUCUUUUGUCUCUCCAUAUAAACUUUACAAUCAGUUUUUAAAUAUCAAUAAAAUAACUUGCUGGGAUUUUGAUUGCAAUUGAAUUGAAUCUAUAGAUCAAGUAGGGAAAACCUGAUAUUCAAUGUAAGGUCCUAGUAGAACUCCUGGAGAUAAAAUUCAUAAACAUGUUCCCCUCCCCACUCAAGACUGGGUCGCCCUGGAGUUUUUACCUCUCAGCUUUUUCUACACUGAGCCCCCAACAAUCCAUCAACUAAAGUUCAGGUUUCCCUACCCCAGCAAUGGUUCCUGCAGAAGUUGCUGCUUGUGGGUUUCUGUGAUUAAGUUGAGAUUCUCUAUAUUUGCCUGCUGGCCUCUCCAAUUUGGGGGCAACUGUUUGCCCUUUGACCCUAUGUCUCUUAUGGAUCUAAGAAGAGUUGUUGAUUUUUCAGUUUGUUCAGCUUUUUAUUUGUUGUUAGGAUGAAGUGGCAACUUCCAAGUUUUUUCAUGCUGAACUGAAAACUGGAAGUCCUAAAAUAUUUUAAAAAUAAAAAUAGAUGAAGCAGUGCAUACUCGUGGCUAUAGGAUACUUAAAAUGUGUGCUCCAAGGAAAAUACAAAAUAAAUGCCCAAUUAGAAGUUUCUAGUUUUUUAAAUAGAAAAAAAUUAACAAAGUCAUCCUAAGGAAAACAAAAGGAAGGAAUUACAAAGGAUAAAAUAAUUAAUUAGAAAAGAGAAAUGGGACUACUACUCAAUAGAAUAUUUAAAAAAAGCAACAAUAGUCAUUUGACUAACCUGCUUAAGAAACAAAGAGAGAAAACAUAAUUGAAAUACAAAAACAUAAGGGGAAAUAACUUCAGACACAGAAAGAAAUUAGGAGUUGUAUAGGAUUAGUUUGUUUCACUCUCCGCAACAAAUUUGAAAAUGUGGAUGAAAUGGAUGAAACUACAAGAAAAUAUAAUUUAUCAAUAAUCCCAGAAAAGGUAGUAAUUCUAAGUAUUUAAGUUAUCAGAGAAGAAAUAGAUGUCAGAGAAGUGAAUUUUCCCACACCCCCAUGCACAAAAGCACCAGGCUUAUAUUAUUUCAUAGAAGAAUUCUACUGAGAAACUUUAAGGAAUACAUGAGUCCAUUGUUAUUAUUCUGUCCUAAGCACAGAAAGAGAAGGAAACGUUUCCAAUUCUAUUUAUGAAAUGAAUAAACACUGAUAACAAAACCUAAUAAAACACACAUUUAUCACAGAUACAUAUAUAUGCUGAUCAUAGAACUUCUUAUUCAAUAAUCAAAACAUGGUAUCAGUGAAAGAACAAACAGAUCAACUGAAAGAAUAAAGUGCCCAGCUAUAGGCCCACACAAAUACAAUCAACUGAUCAUUGACAAAGGAACAAAACCAAUCCAAUGGAAGCAAAGAGUCUUUCAACUUGUGAUGCUGGAAAAACUGGACAUUCACACACAAAUUAAUGAAUCUAGACACUAACUUUACAAUUUUCAUAAAAAUUAUCUCAAAAUUGAUCAUAGACCUAAAUGUAAAAUGUAGAACUGUACAAAUUCUACGAGAAAAUCUAGGUGACUUUGGGUUUAGCAAUGACUUUUAGUUAAAACACCAAAAGCAUGAUCCAAGAGGGGAAAAACUGAUAAAUUGUUCCUCAUUAAAAUUAAAAACUUCUGCCCUUCAUUGUUAAGAGAAUGAAAAGACAAGCCACAGGCUAGGAGAAAAAUAUCUUCAAAACAUACAUCCGGGAGUUUCCAUUGUGGCUCAGUGGGUUAAGAACCUGACAGUUCUGUGAGGAUGCGAGUUGGAUCCCUGGCCUCGACUGGUGGGUUAAGGAUCUGGCGUUGCGAGUUGGAUCCCUGGCCUCGACUGGUGGGUUAAGGAUCUGGCGUUGCUGCAAG
rnacentral:lncRNA from 1 species